UUGAACGCUGGCGGCAUGCCUUACACAUGCAAGUCGAACGGUAACGGGCCUUCGGGUGCCGACGAGUGGCGAACGGGUGAGUAAUACAUCGGAACGUGCCCGAUCGUGGGGGAUAACGAGGCGAAAGCUUUGCUAAUACCGCAUACGAUCUACGGAUGAAAGCAGGGGACCGCAAGGCCUUGCGCGGACGGAGCGGCCGAUGGCAGAUUAGGUAGUUGGUGGGAUAAAAGCUUACCAAGCCGACGAUCUGUAGCUGGUCUGAGAGGAUGAUCAGCCACACUGGGACUGAGACACGGCCCAGACUCCUACGGGAGGCGGCAGUGGGGAAUUUUGGACAAUGGGCGCAAGCCUGAUCCAGCCAUGCCGCGUGCAGGAUGAAGGCCUUCGGGUUGUAAACUGCUUUUGUACGGAACGAAAAGCCUUCUUUUAAUACAGGAGGGUCAUGACGGUACCGGAAGAAUAAGCACCGGCUAACUACGUG
rnacentral:rRNA from 1 species